rnacentral:rRNA from 1 species
CACGUAGGGGGCAAGCGUUGUCCGGAUUUAUUGGGCGUAAAGAGCUCGUAGGUGGUUCGGUAAGUCGGGUGUUAAACCCCCAGGCUCAACCUGGGGACGCCACUCGAUACUGCUGUGACUAGAGUCCGGUAGGGGAGCGUGGAAUUCCUGGUGUAGCGGUGAAAUGCGCAGAUAUCAGGAGGAACACCAGCGGCGAAGGCGGCGCUCUGGGCCGGUACUGACACUGAGGGACGAAAGCUAGGGGAGCGAAUGGG